UGGGGGACAGAGUGGGUGGGGAGGGGAGCCGCCAUACAGUGGCCAGGACCAGCUUUGCCCAAGUGGUGGCAACCGCAUGACCACAGGAACGAUGGCGUGAGCCCCGUGGCAACCUGGAGGAAGGGCGAGUCUCCAGAGCCUGGAGGACAAGUUAGCCUUGCGAAGGAUAGCAGAGGACCCAGCCCAGGGGUCCCCAAAAUGGAGCACCAACCCUCCAUGCAGGCCAAGCCACUGGUGAAUAUGCUGCAAAAAAUAUGCUGGAACUUCUAUGAAUACCACAGGGUGUGAGAAGAAAACAUUAGAACUUCUAUUUUGUACCUGUGUUACUCCACAACAAGAAAGCAAUCAGCUUGAUCAAUGCCUACUGUAAAGACGGCACCGCCCUCCGGAGGUCCUUUCUCAGCCCUGGUGUUCGGACAGCCACAUCCCCUCGCAGCAGGGGGAGGCCUGAAGCAUAGAGGGGCCCAUGCAGGUCUAUUCUGUUUCAGCGAAUUGCCUGGGAAAUAAUCCAGGAUCCAUUUCGUGUGGUCAUCUUGUCUCCCUGGUCCCCUCCAGCCUUUCCUCAUCUUUUGUGACCUGGUCACUCUGGAAGGGCGCUGGCCAGUUAGUCCACAGGAUGGGCCUCCCCUGGGGCUUUUCUGAUGCUUCCUUAUGAUGGCACUGGCAUCCUGAGGGGGAGGACCACAGAGAGGAGGUGCUCCUCAUCACACCACAUGGGGGUCCAUGCACCAGUGCCACUGCUUUCCAGGGCUCUUCACCUUCAUCACUGGUGGAGGUGGCGUCUGCCAAGAAGCAGAAAGUUGAGGCUUAGAAGGUGCACGGCCCUACCUCUUCCGAGGUGCCCCUGCGGGCUGUCUACAGACCAGGCAGCACAUGCCUGAUAGCAGCUGCAUAAGGAAAAGCAGGAGCCAGCUCGUGCACAGUGGCCUCAAGUGUGCACUGGGCAUGUUCUCUGCCUCACCAUCCCUGUGUGACAGAUGAAGCAUGGCAAGCCAGGCUCCAGAGAAGCAUCCUGAGGACCAGUGUUCCUAGGGACCUCAUUCUUCUGACCUCAUUCCUACAACGUUUUGUCACUGCAAAGGAAAUCACCAAGGCCAGACAAGUGAGCUCAUGGAAACCUCUCCAUCGUUGACCAGGAUCUAUAGGAAAACCCUCCUCUUCUUCUAUAUGCAAAGGCUGCACAGCUCCUGGUUCACCUGCACCUCUCCAGACCACCAUGGUGCCUGCAGCUCUGAGGGCAUUUUAAAUCAUCACAGAACAACAAGCAUAUAAGCAUCAUGAGCGCCUCUGGACCUCUGACGUGCCUUGUGGAGGCCUGCCAGGCCCACGUUUUAAUUUACAUGAACUCGAUGCCCUUUUUGACAGGGAGAGAUCUGUUUCUUUAUUUGUUAGCCUUUCCCCUGGACCUGCUAGAUCUGGACCAUCCCCAGGAAAGGAAGGUCACACCACAAAGAUAAAUAUAAACAAAAUGAGUUAAUUAAGAA
ensembl:lncRNA LINC01471 long intergenic non-protein coding RNA 1471